GAAUGCUGACAUAAGUAACGAUAAAGCGGGUGAAAAGCCCGCUCGCCGGAAGACCAAGGGUUCCUGUCCAACGUUAAUCGGGGCAGGGUGAGUCGACCCCUAAGGCGAGGCCGAAAGGCGUAGUCGAUGGGAAACGGGUUAAUAUUCCCGUACUUGGUGUUACUGCGAAGGGGGGACGGAGAAGGCUAUGUUGGCCGGGCGACGGUUGUCCCGGUUUAAGCGUGUAGGUGUGUGUUCCAGGUAAAUCCGGUUCACUUUAACACUGAGGCGUGACGACGAGGCACUACGGUGCUGAAGCAACAAAUGCCCUGCUUCCAGGAAAAGCCUCUAAGCAUCAGGUAACAUCAAAUCGUACCCCAAACCGACACAGGUGGUCAGGUAGAGAAUACCAAGGCGCUUGAGAGAACUCGGGUGAAGGAACUAGGCAAAAUGGUGCCGUAACUUCGGGAGAAGGCACGCUG
rnacentral:rRNA from 1 species